rnacentral:rRNA from 1 species
UACGUAGGGUGCGAGCGUUGUCCGGAAUUACUGGGCGUAAAGAGCUCGUAGGUGGUUUGUCACGUUGUCCGUGAAAACUCACAGCUUAACUGUGGGCGUGCGGGCGAUACGGGCAGACUGGAGUACUGUAGGGGAGACUGGAAUUCCUGGUGUAGCGGUGGAAUGCGCAGAUAUCAGGAGGAACACCGGUGGCGAAGGCGGAUCUCUGGGCCAUUACUGACGCUGAGGAGCGAAAGCAUGGGGAGCGAACAGG